ensembl:lncRNA
AUUAAUCUCAUUCCCAAAAUUAGAAAGCUUGCAGUGUUGAGAGACUGGAUGUCAAAAUUACAUGUUCAUAGCACUUAUGCUUUGGGAAUCUAGGAACCAACCACUUUUAAAAUGGAAGUUGAAAUAAAUGGAAAGCCUUCUGAAAGUGAAGCAAACUAAACUUGGUGUUCUUGUCCUUACUGGAUUCAGGGGCACCCUUUCAGAUAAAAACAUGGACCUGAUUGGCAUCAUCCUGUAUCCAUGGAAACGUUGGAUACCUUUCCCUGGUUCGAGUAUCUUCAUGCUCUCAGCCUGGCUACCAGUUGCAAGAAGACAGAAGAGGAACUCACCUAGCAGUUAAUUUUUCCUCAUCACAUUGUUUUCAUAGAAAUGCAGUAGAGGAGAUUACAUGUACAGAAUCUAGGGAAGAAUAUCAAGACUUUGGAUUUCUUGGUGGGGACACAUUUUGUUAAGAGUCCUCAGUUCAUCUUGUUCAAAGCAUGACUGCAGCCCUUUGCUGUAGGAUCACCUCAUGAACAGGUCAAGAGAAAACAAGGUGUGCAUGGAUGUUAUAGCUGCACAUCUCCACUAAGCUAGAGGGAGCUUCUUCAACAAGAUGGAGGUAUUGGCAGAAUGAAAAAUCGAGAAGCAUGCAGAGGACAACCAGCAUGUGCCAAAUCACCAUGAUCUCUCAGCACAGGAGUCCAGGUGAAAGGAUUGAUUUUGGAGAGAGAGUUGCUCAACAAAAAGGAAGAAAGAAAAGAAAAACCAUGGGCAUGUUUGUUUUCACUUGUAGUUUCUCACUUCAGUAAGGCAAUGAUGGAAACCUCUACAAUGGGGUUCCUGCAGGUGAACAUCAUCAGGAGUUUUAGCUUCAUGCACUUAAGAAUGUUGGCUGUUUGUGUUUUUUUUUUUACUGAAUAUUUUGGAUUCCUGAAGGAAUUACUGGCACAAUUGGUUCUGCAUUUGAAGAGCUGGUUAAAGUGUAAGUAAGUUUUUCAAGGCAGAAGGGCAUGCCCACAAUGCAUAUUGGUAGGCUGACUGCUGCUGUUCCUUUUUGUGGUUGGGAAAGAGAACUGGCUUGAUGCAGUGUAAAAAAGGGCUGAAUUUCUCAAAAACUGAUGUAACACAUAUCUUCAGUGUAUACUGCAUUAAUGCCCAUGAUUAAAAGAGCUAGAUAAUGCCUGAUAAAAGAAUUAAAAUAUUUCCUGGAGAUGAAGACUACUCCCUUUGGACUAGGUCCUUGAGGUGGCCUUGCAAAGAGGGUGCCACCUCCCAGGACAGAACAUCAAAAGGUGGCUCUUCACACAGGAAGCUUCUGGACCUGUUUUGUUGAUCAUACCAUAUGUGGAUGGCAGUGUAAUUCCAUCAUCAAGAAAAUUCAGGAACUUCAUGAYCUGGAUAAAAUGUGUAGUCUGCUGCGUGGUGGAAGGCUUAUAGCCUACAGUGACAAGAAUAGAGCAGAGAGCAAGGAUCAGCCAUGCCUGAAGUGGGCCUUCUGCUCCUGGUUGCAGGUUUUAUCCAUCUUUCCCCUCUGUGUGCUAGGUGGCACAACAGAGUCACAAUUUCUCUCUGGGAUAGGGCAAUCACUUGAUGUGACUCCUAGCAGAGACCUGUGAGGGGCAGUGAGAUGCGAGGAAAGCUAGCAAGUACAAAUUGGAUCUGCUGAAGUAUGGCUUGGACUCAUCCACUCCAUUUUACAACUGAAUUAGUGAUUUAGGGAUGAUAGAGUGACCAAUUUGACCCACUUGGCCAUUUGCAAAUGCAAACUUAGAACAACCAAAGCAAUGUAACUAUAGCUAUGGGAGCUUCAGGGCUCCAUUCUCUCUCCCUGAGAUCACAGGGUAUGAAAUACAAUAGAACAUCUUUGUCAGGAAAGAAAUAAGUUCAGCUUAGCUUCAGCUUAGAGGUUCUGAGCAAAGGCUGUAAGUGUAGCUGCUUGAGAAAUGGAGUUAGAAUGUUGUUGCGAAAAUAAAGAUGAGACUAAAACCUCA